UAAAACUUUUGCUGAUAGAGGUAGCCCAGUUAUUGGCUUAUUCCUGCCCAGUUACAGCUUUAUCGUGAUUAGUGGUAUUUUUCUUCACCCUGUUCUGGUCUGAGGGAAGUGGAAGUCUCUUAUAAUUGGAGAGAUGGCAGAGGAAGGCCUAAAGAAUUUGUGUAAAACACCACCUGUGUGUGUGCAUCUAUACCUUCCGGAAAGUAGGUGGCCCCAUAGACCAGCUGGAGCAUAUACAGGCUAAGAGUGCUAAACUAGAAGCCCCUGGGGCCAAUUCAACAGUGUGGGUGGGGUUUGGCAUUGCCCAGUCACUGGGGCAGAGAGGCUCAGGGCUUGGAGCUCACGCUGCAAAAAUUAUGUGUUGGACAGAGCUUUACAAUGGUUCCUGCAUGCUUAUGAGCCCUCUGAAGUUGAUCCUGGGCAGAAAGAAGCCUCAGGCAAAUGAGACCUGAACAUUCCUUUCCCACUGUGGGUGGGUUACAAUUUGAAGGAAGCCGUUCACCCAGCCAUCUAAUUUCCCAGAGAUCUUGAUUGCGAAGGACCGUUUGCAGAUCCCAUCGGAGGGGCCCAGUUUGAAUUAUAUCCAGGAGAUCCCCUGGAAUAUGAAAGAAGUCAAUUAAAGAGAUGUCAACUGGAAAGAUUCAGAAGAUGGUGAAUAACUCCAAGGGUCUACCAGAUGAUCGGGGGCAGCAGCAGCGGCUCUGCCUGCCCAUGGGCUCUGUCCCCAUGCCAGCGGGGGCAGCAGAAGCGGCGGCAGCAGAAGCUCUGACUGCCCAUGGGUCCUGUCUCCAUGCUAUUCUAUACUAUUCUCUAAAUAAAAGAGCACUACUGCCAAAUCUUAAGAGUCUAAAGAAAUCUUUCUUUCGACGACUCGGCUCACGGACCCCGCAUCACUUAUCAAUGGCAACAGCCCUGAACACAUUUCACAAUGGAUGUCAUGGAGGAAUGGUGGAAGCAAGGCCAUUGCUUAAAAGCCAGAAGCGGGCAGUGGACCAAGUCAGCAACUGGUGGAAAAGAAAACAAUAUUGUCAUCUUGGUCCAUGAGUCACCUGGUGGGAAGCGGUGUUCUUGACCAGUGGUUCCCAAAAUGGGUUGUAUAUACCCAAAGGGUGCUCAUAAUCAUCCAUUUCAAUAUGGAUAGAAAACAUCAGGGCUCUAUUUCUAUAUUUUAUAACAACAACAA
rnacentral:lncRNA from 1 species